rnacentral:rRNA from 1 species
CCUACGGGAGGCAGCAGUGGGGAAUAUUGCACAAUGGGGGAAACCCUGAUGCAGCGACGCCGCGUGAGUGAAGAAGUAUCUCGGUACGUAAAGCUCUAUCAGCAGGGAAGAAAAUGACGGUACCUGACUAAGCAGCCCCGGCUAACUACGUGCCAGCAGCCGCGGUAAUACGUAGGGGGCAAGCGUUAUCCGGAUUUAUUGGGUUUAACGGGUGCGCAGGCGGGCUGUUAAGCCGGCGGUAAAAAUUCAGGGCUCAACCCUGUCGAGCCGUCGGAACUGGCAGUCUUGAGUGGGCGAGAAGUAUGCGGAAUGCGUGGUGUAGCGGUGAAAUGCAUAGAUAUCACGCAGAACGCCGAUUGCGAAGGCAGCAUACCGGCGCCCGACUGACGCUGAGGCACGAAAGCGUGGGGAUCGAACAGGAUUAGAUACCCCGGUAGUC